rnacentral:rRNA from 1 species
GGGACAACAGUUAGAAAUGACUGCUAAUACCGCAUAAGCGCACGGGAACGCAUGUUUCUGUGUGAAAAACUCCGGUGGUGUAAGAUGGGCCCGCGUUGGAUUAGGUAGUUGGUGAGGUAACGGCUCACCAAGCCGACGAUCCAUAGCCGACCUGAGAGGGUGACCGGCCACAUUGGGACUGAGACACGGCCCAAACUCCUACGGGAGGCAGCAGUGGGGAAUAUUGCACAAUGGGCGCAAGCCUGAUGCAGCGACGCCGCGUGAGCGAAGAAGUAUUUCGGUAUGUAAAGCUCUAUCAGCAGGGAAGAAAAUGACGGUACCUGACUAAGAAGCUCCGGCUAAAUACGUGCCAGCAGCCGCGGUAAUACGUAUGGAGCAAGCGUUAUCCGGAAUUACUGGGUGUAAAGGGAGCGUAGACGGAUGUGCAAGUCUGAUGUGAAAGGCGGGGGCUCAACCCCUGGACUGCAUUGGAAACUGUAAAUCUUGAGUGCCGGAGAGGUAAGCGGAAUUCCUAGUGUAGCGGUGAAAUGCGUAGAUAUUAGGAGGAACACCAGUGGCGAAGGCGGCUUACUGGACGGUAACUGACGUUGAGGCUCGAAAGCGUGGGGAGCAAACAGGAUUAGAUACCCUGGUAGUCCACGCGGUAAACGAUGAAUACUAGGUGUUGGGGAGCAAAGCUCUUCGGUGCCGCAG